UCAGUAGUACAAAAAUAAUUUUUAUACUAAUCGAUGUAACCAUCUAGCAAUGAGACCCGACAUUCGGAUAAGCCGAAUGUAUGUCCAGCAAUACUCUAGAACCCAUAUAGAUAUAGUUAUCGUAUAAUUUAUCCUUUUGACACUUGAUGCUCAAGGAUGACUAAGGGUAAACUGUCAAACCAGGAAGAGUGGUCCACAUUG
rnacentral:lncRNA from 1 species